UACGGAGGAUCCAAGCGUUAUCCGGAAUCAUUGGGUUUAAAGGGUCCGUAGGCGGAUAAAUAAGUCAGUGGUGAAAGUCUGCAGCUUAACUGUAGAAUUGCCAUUGAUACUGUUUAUCUUGAGUUAUUAUGAAGUGGUUAGAAUGUGUAGUGUAGCGGUGAAAUGCAUAGAUAUUACACAGAAUACCGAUUGCGAAGGCAGAUCACUAAUAAUACACUGACGCUGAUGGACGAAAGCGUAGGUAGCGAACAGG
rnacentral:misc_RNA from 1 species